rnacentral:tRNA from 1 species
GCCUUUGUGGUGCAGUUGGAAGCAUACUCGUCGUAUAUUCGAGAGGUCCAGGGUUCGAGUCCCGGUGAGCGCU